AAGUCUAAUACGACUCUCGGCAACGGAUAUCUCGGCUCUCGCAUCGAUGAAGAACGUAGCGAAAUGCGAUACUUGGUGUGAAUUGCAGAAUCCCGUGAACCAUCGAGUCUUUGAACGCAAGUUGCGCCCCAAGCCUUCUGGCCGAGGGCACGUGUGCCUGGGUGUCACA
rnacentral:rRNA from 1 species